rfam:Gonapodya prolifera JEL478 unplaced genomic scaffold M427scaffold_107, whole genome shotgun sequence.
AGCUAUGGCCAUAUACGCGGAAAAGUGCCGCUUCCCGUCCGAUCAGCGCAGUGAAGCUUGUGACAGCUCAGUCAGUACUAGUGUGAAAGAUCAGCUGGGAAUACUGGGUGCUGUAGUUG